AGAGAGAGACAUGCGCGCAUAUCAAUAAGCGGAGGAAAAGAAACUAACAAGGAUUCCCCUAGUAACGGCGAGUGUAGCGGGAAGAGCUCAAAUUUGAAAUCUUAAAGGGUUUCCCUUUACGAAUUGUAGUUUAAAGAAGUGUUUUCUGUUGAGGUUUUGGUAAAAGUUCUUUGGAAUAGGACAUCAUAGAGGGUGAGAAUCCCGUAUUUGACCUUUACUUUCAACUUUGUGAUACACUUUCAAAGAGUCGGAUUGUUUGGGAAUGCAGUCCAAAAUGGGUGGUAAAUUUCAUCUAAAGCUAAAUAUUGGCGAGAGACCGAUAGCGAACAAGUACCGUGAGGGAAAGAUGAAAAGAACUUUGAAAAGAGAGUUAAACAGUACGUGAAAUUGUCAAAAGGGAAGCGUUUGACACCAGUGUUGUUUUUCUGAAAAUCAAUUAAAGAACUGUUUAUGCUAAGUUGUUUAGACUUUAUCAGCUAACUGUUUAGUUUUGAGCUUUUCUUUAAUGCACUUUUCAGUUAACAAGUCAACAUCAAUUUCUUUUGCUGUAAAAAAGCUUGAGGAAGGUGGCUUGAGAUUCGUCUUAAGUGUUUAUAGCCUCUUGCCUAUGCAGUCGGAGAGAUUGAGGUCUGCAGCGUAGAUCCUUCGGGGCUAAAUGCAUUUGUGCUAAGUUAUAACAUUUUAUAGACAACUUGUUGACUAUGAUUUGUCUUGUAGCUUACUCGCUUAUGUUAUUUUACCUACGCUUAGGAUGUUGACGCAUGAGAUAUACGC
rnacentral:rRNA from 1 species